GUAAACUUAUUUGUGGCAACCAAGUAUAACCGCGUCUUUGAAUUCCUUUUAAAUUGCCGCCCAAACUAACACAUGUAACAGCAAAACAUGGGCUGUCAUGUUUCCGUAUUACUCUUCUUGAUUUUCGAUGAUUGAUUGGGGAUUUAAGCGUUCCUUUUUAUUUGAUCAAUUAAGCUUAUAAAUUAUAACCCUUCUCACCAUUUCAUCACAACUGUGAAACCUUCGUACCACCAUCAUGAACAACCAUGCCCCCCCCCCCCACACACACACACACAUCCUCCACACACUUCCUACUCCGUAACACAUAACGCACCGGUUGAUGAAGAACCGCAACCCACUCGCAGAACCUCACCCUCACACACUCUCUACUCUCAAACGAAUAUGUACGCGCAACCGGAGUAUCGCCGGAGUUCCUCAACAUCACCGGAGUCCGAAGGAGUCAUCGGAGGAUCGCGACGGAACUCUCGCUUAAUCGUUUCGGAUCACUCGUGACCAAGUCUCUCAAAUCCCAUUUUGCGCGCAUAAGUUUACAAGGAAUCGCUAACGCAAACACUGUGAGUAGAUUUUACUUCUUCCCCUUUUUGUCACUUUAACUUUUUGGGGUGUAUCAUGUGUCACGUAUUCAUAAGUGUCUCAUAUUAUUUUUCCAACAUGCAAACUUAAAUGUCAUAUGUGUUCAUGCUUGGUAUCGCAUUGUUUCAUUAUCUGUUUCACAUACAUGAAUUACGUGUUUACCGCUUUGUGUCUCUGUUUCUCUGUUUCGCGUGGAUCCACCACCGGUUGACCGGUUCCCCACGGCCAUGGGGCGAACUCGGUAUCACCAUCAUUGUUUCGCUUUUCGCCUCUCGGGGCUUGAAUCGCAUCAUUUAUUUCACUGAUUAUGUUUCAUUAUUUCUUGUUACUUUACUUGUUGAUGUGGAUUGAUUGAUGAGUUAUUUAUUGAUAUCACUAUUACAUUUAAUAUUGCAUGCUACAUAAUUUUUAUUAAAUAAAAUCAACUAAUCUUUUAAGGUUAAAUAAAAAACAAAUGAAGAUCUACUCGCCAACUUUUGUUUACCCAAAAACCAUUUUUACACAUGAUACAGGUGAAAAGGUACGAAGAGAAGAUUGGACAUAGGAUGUGCCUUAGUUAACAAGAAACGGAUUAGUGUAGUUUAUUUAUGUCUCGCGUUUGUAAUUGUUUAUUUGAAUAAAUUGUUUUGUGAAACA